rnacentral:rRNA from 1 species
AUUGAACGCUGGCGGCAGGCCUAACACAUGCAAGUCGAACGGUAACAGGAAACAGCUUGCUGUUUCGCUGACGAGUGGCGGACGGGUGAGUAAUGUCUGGGAAACUGCCUGAUGGAGGGGGAUAACUACUGGAAACGGUAGCUAAUACCGCAUAACGUCGCAAGACCAAAGAGGGGGACCUUCGGGCCUCUUGCCAUCGGAUGUGCCCAGAUGGGAUUAGCUAGUAGGUGGGGUAACGGCUCACCUAGGCGACGAUCCCUAGCUGGUCUGAGAGGAUGACCAGCCACACUGGAACUGAGACACGGUCCAGACUCCUACGGGAGGCAGCAGUGGGGAAUAUUGCACAAUGGGCGCAAGCCUGAUGCAGCCAUGCCGCGUGUAUGAAGAAGGCCUUCGGGUUGUAAAGUACUUUCAGCGGGGAGGAAGGGAGUAAAGUUAAUACCUUUACUCAUUGACAUUACCCGCAGAAGAAGCACCGGCUAACUCCGUG